rnacentral:lncRNA from 1 species
GCUGUCGUAGUUCUUCACUAUAGACAACAUAUGCACAUUAACCAGCAUUGAACGAGGUGGUCGAAUCAAUAUACACAUUUAUCAUACAAUAGAAUAUCUGAAACAGAAAGCCUGAUAUAUCCUUUGUUGCUUUGCAUAGGAAAUUGAUAAACGAUCCCAGAUCAUGCAAUUAACAAUUUGUGUUGGCUUUCAUUUAUUUAAUAGUUUUAAUAUCACUGCAAAUGCACCCUGUAAACUAAAAGGAAGACUUAGCUGAAUUAAUUCUAU